GUAUUGUUUCGUAAACCUGUCUAGAAAAAAAGUCAUGAAGCAAGAACACGAGGUUUUUACUCAUUUUUCUUUGGUUAAAUCUGACUAAUUCGAAAUGAAGAAAAUGUCUAAAAGUGUGGCCAGAAAUUUUUGCAUAUGAACAAAAAGAGGAAAAAUGGGAUAGCCAUGACUUGACCACCUUAAUUAGGGGCGGCUUUUGUUUUCUUUUUGCCCGCAAAUCAGGGCAUCUUCUAUUCCCUGUCAGCCGGAGUGUCGUUUCUCUAUCACGUUUGAAAGUGAUACAUAAAUUGUCGUGUAAAUUCACAAUCUACACACUUCACUUUCGAUUUGAUUAGACAAGAAAAAAUUAUAUUGUGCUCAAUACGGAGCCAAGGUUGACUCGACUAGGUCUCUCCAUAAAGGUAGACUAAACUGAGCUCUUAUUUGGUCCCAAUUUUUAUCAAGAAUUGAUUUUCAUAGCAAUUAUAUGGAGCCCAUUUGCAUUUUAUAAUAUUUUUGGCAGGACAAAUUAUAACAAAAAACAAAGAUAAUAUCACGUCACAUAUAUGCUUUUACUUUGAAAAAAACGAUAAUGUCCAUGUUUGGAUUUUCAAGUUGAUGCAUAAUUUUACGGACACAAUUAAGGUGUCGAGUUGUCCAACGGUUGUCCACAACAAGUACACAUAGCGUUGUCCAACGGUUGCCUUAUUUGGGCCGCUAUUUUGAAUUGAUUUAUGACCUCGGUGCUCGCUUUCUCCUUUUAAUCAUUUUAUGGGAAGUUCGUGAAUUUUACCUAAUUUUUUUAAACUGCUUUUAUUUUUUGAGCGUGUACAAAAGAAAAGUUAUGAUUCAUAAAAGAUGUGAGGGUUUAGAAUUCUGUUUCACGUUGUCAUCUAUUGGUGUCUAAUUGUGUAAUUGAAAUUGGAUUUAAAAUAUGUAUAUUUCAUCUUACUUCAAAUGGGGCUGUAUAUGCAUGAAUUUUUUCUAUUUAAUCCAUGAAUGCCAUUUAGAUAAUGGUACUGGCUCAAAUGAGUGGCUAGAAACAAAUAUAGUUUCUUGAAGUUUGGGUUCUAUAAAAUGGAAAUUCACUAGAUGUAAAAUUGGGUUUAAUUUAUCCACUUUCAAGCACCCCAAUAUUAUUGUGUAGAUGCAAUGAAUUUGGAACAUUAUGUAUUGAGCAAAAUGAUUUUUCCUUUGAAUCUGUUAGGCGAGUUCACACUCCAAAUGUUCGUUUUUUUUUUUUUUUUUUGAUAUUCAAGUAUCCACCUUACAGUGACUAAAUCCUGAAGUCUACACCUUGGCUCCUUAAGCUGCACACAGGUUAAAUCGCAGGUUGUGCCCCAAACUGACCAGUGCUCAAGCGCCCCCCAACUGAUCUGCCUAAGUUCUAAACAAGUCGUUUCCCAUCUUUACACCUUGCCUUCUAGAAUAAAUCAUGCCUUCCAGGAGAAUAUCUGUCUUCCAAAAGCUUUUCAGGAAUCGAACUCACGACCUUUGAUCUGCCAGCUUUAAAGCACCCUCAUCGUUGCCAGUUGGGAUGUGCCCUGGGGGGCCUAAAUGGUCGUUUAGAUCUCUCCCAGGUUGAGAAUGUGGAGGAACUUAUAUUAGCUAAAUCAAUGGCUGCUGCAGAUUCAGCAUUGGCAGGCUACAAUGUAAUGAGAUAACUGGUGAUCAGAAGCAUUGUUGAACAUAUAGCUAUGCUCAUUAUCUAGCAAAGAAGAAGAAUUUGAUUCAGACGAGAUCGUAUCAGUUGUACAUUGGAUGAAGAUGUUUUAAUUGUGAACAUUACUAAUGUUUUAAUUGUGUUUCCAAGUUAUUGGCUAAAAUAUUUUCUUCUACGAUUUUUACAGAGGAUACGAUGUAAGCCACAUAUUUAUAGUUUCAAAAAAUAGUGGGAAGUACAAAUAUGAGUAGAAAAAUGAAUUUAGCAUCUAAGAAAAAUAAGAGACCAAGAGAACUGUGCAUUGACAAUAUUAAAAUGGAUAUCAAUUUCUAGAUGCCAAAGAAAAAAUCUCAACGUUUCGUUCAAUUGGAAGGUAUGUAUAUUUAAUGACGAGAGGAAACAUAAUAGUAAUCAGAUUCUUAAAGAUAUUAUUCUCGCUUUUUCUUGUGACUUGCGUCAAUUUUUUCUUUUAUGUAUGCAUUUUUUUAUUUUGAUAAUUGAAUGUAUAUCAAUACUUCAUUUUUUACUGCUUAAACAUAUUACUAUGGUAUAUAUUAUUUACUCUAUAUACUUUAUUCUCCCAAGAAAAAGCUAUUUUCAACGAAAAUGGCUUUUCUUCUUCUUCUUCUUCUUUUUUUUUUUCCUACCAUUAUUACUUUUAAAGUUAAACUCAUUGCAAAAAGUCUACUAUCUUAUGUUAGCAUACAAAACCGUGGGUUUCUACUAGAGAUUUUACACUUUCUACCUACACAAUUCUGUUAUAAUGUUGACGUAUUUUCUAUUUUAUCUUGUGUAGCUUUAAAAUCUGGAAUGUUUACACAAAAUGAAAAAUUAGCGAUAGUUGGUGUUAGGGGUGUGAGCGGUCCGAUUUUACCGAUUUUUGACAGAUUUUCAAACCGUUUAAAACGAUUUAAGAAAAACUCAAAUCUAAACCAAACCAUUUUGAACGGUUUGAAAAAAACUCAAACAUAAACCUAACGGUUUGGUCCGGUUUAAAUCGCCGGUUUCGCCAUAUAAUUUUUUGCUCGUCUACUUUUAUGUCAUUAAUUCAUUAAAUUUAAUAUAUAUUUAUAUCUCACUAGUAAUAAAUCUAAAACAAAAUAAGCCCCUGUUUGAACCAAAUUUUUGUGACAAAAAAAAUGAAAGUUUGGACCGUUAUUCAACAAGUCCAGCCGCCUUUAUUGACCUAUUAUUUCAUGUGUGGGACCCAACCUCUUCUCCAAUAGUCAAUUUUCUUAUUAUGAUGAUAUGAAAAAUAUGGCUCAAACAGGGGGGCUAAAUAUAUCUACUAUAAAUUUAAAUAUCAACUAAAUCAAAGUAAAAUCACAAUAAACUAAAACAUAGUUUUUUUUUUCAUUUUUGCUCACCUUUUUUAGGCUAAUGACGAUACAAUAACGUUACAAUACAAGUCUACUAAACUAGAUCUAAGGUCCAAAAAAUAUAAUGAUGUCCAACAAGACCUCGUGAUCAUCAUAUCUGAAAAAAGGAUACUGAUUAAACAAAGAGAAUAACCAACCACAAUAAUAAAGUAAUUGUUUAUAAUAUCUAAACAUAACAAUUACACAAGUUUACGUUUGUUUAAUGUUAUGAAACACAUUUAAUUUUAGAUUCUUACCUUAGUUUGCUCGAAAAAAUUAUUGAUGUGAAACUUUAUUUGUAGCAAAUAUUAUCAUCAAAGGUCUAGGAUCUUUUUAUCUCUGAUUUGGUAUAAUGGACUUCAAUUCAAUUUUGAAGAGGCGUGAAAAAUCUGAAAAAGAAGUGUGUGGUGCCGGUGGCUCAAAACCGUAUUGGGUGUCGCCUGGAGUUCAUUUAAAUUUUGAAGAGGAAAAAUACAUUUGAUAGAUUAUGUUAGUCUUGAAAUUAUUAAAUAUAUGUUAGGAUUAUUGGAUAAUAAUAAUAAUAAUAAUAAUAAUAAUAAUAAUAAUAAUAAUAAUAAUAAUAAUAUAUUUGUAUUAGAAAAUUAGGAAUUAACAAAAAUACCCACAAAUGACAAAACUAUUGAAUUUUACAUAUUUGGAUGAAUUUUCAAAAAAAAAAUUAUAAAAAUAUAUUACUUUAUAAAAAUUAAUUUAAAAAAUUAUAUUUGAUAGAUUAUGUAAUUUUGAAGUACAAUCUAACAUAUUAAGAUUAGAAUCAUUUCAUGAUAAAAAUGAAAUGGUAAUAAAAACUUAUUUCUCGAAAAAUAAAUAUAUUUAUUUGUUAACAUGUUUGGUCUUCAUUUUUUAAAAUUUAUUUUUCUUCAAACAUAUUUUCAAUCAUAUAUUUAUGGAAUUCACACUUUUACUCUUGAAUUAACCCCCUUAAUAAAUUAUUAUUUAAACAGUUCGUAAACAUUUUGAUUGAUAUUAUUUUUUGGUCAUCCAAAUGGUUAUUAUAUAUCUUUUACGUACAUAUAUAAAAAUAAUAUUUUUAUUUAAACUUACUUAUGUGUUCAAAAAUAAAUUUUCUAAAGAUACAUGGUUGAUAGCGUUAGAAAAUGGUGAAAGAGAUAAUGUGGAGAAAUAGAGAAACAUGGUUGUAACAUGUAAAAAUGAAGAAAGAGUAAGCCUCCAUUAUUUUAUGUAUUUUUAUUUUAAGAAUAUAAAAAAAUUAAGUUGAUUAAAUGAAAUUAAAUUAUUGUACUGAAAGCCAAUGAAGAAAACAGAAAGUAAAAAAAAUGCACGUUGAGGCCUCCGUAAUUAAGGAGGCUUUAUCUCCAUGAAGCCUCCAUAAUACGGAGGCUUCAUGGAGGCCUCCAUAAAGCCUCCGUAUUAUGGAGGCUUUGCUCCAUAAUAUGGAGGCCUUGCCUCCGUAAUUUUUUUUAUUUUUUUUAAUAUAUACUAAAAUUAUUAUUUUUAAAUGCUGUUGGUAUGAUGCGUGUGUGGAAGAAUAUUUGUUAAUCACCAUAAACAAAAUUUGUUACAAAAUGCAUAAUAAAUUUUCUUAUUACGUUAAUAAAAUUAUAAUAAAUUUUUUUUUACAAAUAAUAUAAAAAAAUAUAUUUAUUUUUAACAAAAAAAUACAUUUAAAAAUUAGCAAUUUCAUAACCACUUUUUUCUUAAAUUUUCAAAAAUACAAUUAUAAAAUAAAAAAUAAUUAAAUUUUUAUUAAUUUUAUAAUAUAAUAUGUUAUGGAGGCUCAAGUAUGAGCCUCCAUAAUUAUGGAGGCAUCAGCAUGGUGCCUCCAUUUUGGAGGCUCAAGACAUGAGCCUCCAUGUAACAGAGGAUCAUGUUUGAGCCUCCAUUAUGGAGCCUCCGUUACACGGAGGCAUUAUGCUUUACUAAAAAAUUACUUUACUAAUAUAUAUAUAAAUAAAUAAAUAAAUAAAUAUAUAUAUAUAUAUAUAUAUCAUAAAAACAUAUUACUUUAUAAAAGUUAAUUUUAAAAAUUAUAUUUGAUAGGUUAUGUAAUUUUGAAGCAAAAUCUAAUAUAUUAAGAUUAGAAUCAUUUCAUAAUAAAAAUGAAAUGAUAAUAAAAAUUCAUUUCUCGAAAAAUAAAUAUAUUCAUUUGUUAAUAAAUAAAAAUAUUAUUUUUAUAUAUGUACGUAAAAGGUAUAUAGUAACCAUUGGAUGAUCAAAAAAUAAUAUCAAUCAAAAUGUUUAUGAACCGUUUAAAUAAUAAUUAAUUGAGGGGGUUAAUUCAAGAGCAAAAGUGUGAAUUCCAUAAAUAUAUGUAAAAAAAAUUCGCUUAAAAUUAUUUAAAAGUUAAAAAAAAAAAACUUACAAUUGUAAAAAUUACUUGUAACUUAACAAUAUAUUAACUUUAAAAUUUGGAGUAAAUAUUUAAAUAUAUUGAAUUUUAAAAAUUAAAUAUUAACUUAUAUGUUAAAUAGAUGAUCUAUAAAUAAAAUAUUAUUUAAAUAAAAAAAAUCAAAGAAAUCUCUCCAUAUUUAUUAUGGAGACUUGACCUCUCCAUGAGAUCAAGCCUCCGUAUCACGAAUGAUUUUUCUUCGUAAUACGGAGGCUUGUUCUGAGAGAUCAAAUCUCUUGUUAUGGAGAGAUCAUGCCACCGUAUUACGGAGGAUUGAGACUUUCAAGUAUGAACACUAAUUUUUUUCUUUGAAUUUGUUUAUUAGUAAUAUUUUUAUUUGUUGAUAUUUUUUGCUAUCACUAUUUUAUUUCCAACAAUCACUUUUAUGUAAGAAAUUAUUAAUAAAUAAAAAUACAGACAAAAAAUAUUUGUAAAAUGUAAGAAGUUACUUAUAAGUAAAAAAAUCUACAAUUUUGACGCUAAUAAAAAUACAAUAAAUACAAAACUCGUGCAACGCACAUGUCAAAGACUAGUAUUGUAUAAACAUGUUAAAAUCUAUGUAUCCAAGUACUAUAUGAAACAACUAGACUCUUUGAUUAGUAUUACCACCGGUAAUGAAAAUACUUGUGAACAUAAUUUAUAUAGUCCAUUGUAAUCUUCAUUCAAAGCAGGUUCCAUUUUCCAUUAAAAUCCCACAAGAUCGAAAUUCAAUAUUAUUACGUACACUAAAUCACCCAUUACACGUGCAAUGCACGUGUGUCCACUAGUUUUAUAUAAAAAGGGAAAUCUUGUCUUCAAAUAGUAAUAAAAUCCUUGUUUUUUCUUGUUGCAAAUAAGCUAAACUAACACAAUUUGAGAGGAAGAAAAGUGAAAUUUUGAUUAGAGGAAAGAUGGAGUAAAAAGUGACAUCAUCUUCUUGUAACUUCCAUUUUAAUGAAAAAUGAAUGAAAGGGUUAACUUGUACCUUAAAUUGGGAAUUUGAUGUGUGUUUUUCCUUUAAAAAUAAUUCUUAAAUUUGAGCCUGGGUUGUAAUAUUUGAGAACCAUGAUUGAUAUACAAUUAGUUAUUUGUUAAUUCCUUGGAUUAAAAUUCAUUUAAACUUAAAAGACUUAGUUAGAUCUUUAGGCUUUUGACCGAUCUACAUAUUUAAGUUUACAUUCCUUGUAUGAAUCGAGCUUCCAAUGCUCGUUUCUUAAAUAAGCCAAACCAACCAAAACAAAACAAGUAAUUUUGAGACCUCACAUCCCUCAUACCUUACACGUAAACCUAAAAAUUUUCCUCAAUUUUUAAACACACAUUGUCCAAUAAAUCACUAUUUCGAAAUAUAUAUAUUUUUAAAAAUAAGGCUCAAACAGUGACCAAGUCUUGUGUGAAUUUAAGACCAUACCUUAAAUCUUAGUUCCAAUUUUCUUGUGAAUCUUAGGACUCAAAAUUUUUAUUCAACAAAUAUGAAUGAAUAGUGUUAUGCCUACUUACACAUGGUUCCACAUGAACAACCCACUGUAGCUCUGGGUCCACUCAAGUCGAAGCACAUCACUCAGUGACUGAGUCCCUGAAGCUAAAGUGGAAUGCAACGUAGCCGAAGUUGACUCCUCAAUCGAGGCUUAGAACCAUAAAGUCCAAAGCCUAGUGGGUCAAGAUGGUAGCCUCCGAAGCCCACGAUACUGAGGCCGAGGCCUUCGAAGCAUCUUCCACUUUCACUUCUUCCAAAGGAUUCGCUUCUACAUAGAUAUCUUAUUCAAAUGGUUGAUGAGAUAUUCUUCAUAAAGUGUAAAUGUCAAGUUUUGUCAACAAAGUGGCGGCUCUGCAUGGAUAAUAAAUGUAUUGCAGGCUAGCAAGUCAAGAAUGAUGUUUAGGAUUACAUGUAUGAACUAAGGAGAUGAGGCCACGUGUAUCACCAUCCAAGGGACACCAUUUCACUUGUACCACUAUAAAUACUCCCCCAUGUAACAUUUGUAAUACUAAUGCAACAUUGAAUAAAACAACACUCUUCACUUUAUUCUCUCUUGCAAGACAACUAAGUUUACUUUACAUUGAUUCAUUGGAAUUGGCAAUUAUUGUAAAAUCGUUCCACAAAUGCAUCGUCGAAUUCUGAACGUUAUCGUCUCGUGUUGAACGGCUACCACAAUACCCUGUUUCCAAAGCAUUAUAGACUGUUGGUUUGUCUUAGCGUGUUAGACUUGGCCUACAUGUACUCGAGUGGGUUUGACAUCUAUUGUUCGAGUGGUCCUAACAGAAAAUGAGGUCAACAAAUUUGUGUCUGUGGAUCCACACUAUAGCCAUGGCAACCCCAUGGUGAAAGCUUGGAGAGAGAGAAUAUAUGUGCAUCCUCCUUGAAAAAAGAUUUGUUGUUGAAAAAGAACAAGAGGAAGUUUCAUAAGUUGGUCACAUUUGAAGUUGGAGUGCAGAAAAAUGAGUUCUGAUAAAGAUGUACCCUUAGAAGGGUGAGAGAAAAUGCUGGCGCAGCUUCUCCAGCAGUUGUCCCAGCUAGUUGUUGCCCACCUCACUACCACUAUAGACGAGGUAGAAUGCGAAUGGCUACCCAACUUGGUCUGGAGCUUGUACUAAUCCCACAUAUUCUUACGGAUAUUAAUCGAGACAAAAUACUUUAAUUUGAUCAGUACUGAAUUAUUAGUAUGUAUUAUGCCUUCAUUUGAGUUUCAUUUUAUUAAAAAUUAAUUUUUUUCAAAAUUCAUUUUCGAUAACACGUUUUUCAAUAAAAUAAUAUUACACGCAAAUCCAAAAUUUUUCAUUAAUUUUUAAUCAUACAUUUUGCAUCAAUCUACUAUUCAAAAUGCAUUCUUUCCUCCCAAAAUGGGGCUCAAACAAGGACAUAACUUGAUUUUGAUUGCUCUUGAUCGAUUGAGGAAGAGUGUGUUUAUAUAGAGUUGAGAUUUUUUUCGUCCUAUAUUUUUUACCUUCUUCCAAUACAUAUUUGUCACUUAAACACAUAAUCUUUUCCUUAGCAAAUAGGAAGACGUCAAUUUGAAAUGUGCUGAGGUGUUAAGAUAUGUGUUGACGUCUUUUCAUUUGAUAAGAAAAUGUGAUGUACCGAGAUAUCAAAAAUGUAUUGAAGGGACACAAUAGAUGUGAGCUCGUUCACUUGCAUUUGUAGUUUCAAUAAUUUUGUUGGAUGUACAAAUUCUAUUAUAGAAAUUCAAUGAUAAAUUUACGAAACAAUGUUAAUGGGUGGGGUCGUUUAGUGUAUAGAAAGAAUGCUCUUCGAUGUUCGUGUCAGACUACAAUAAAUAAGCAGAUAAUAAUAUGCUUUACUAGGUACUAUAACAUUAACGUGAUAAAAUAUGUUUGGUAAAGUAUAUUAGAUAAAAUUACACAAUAAUAAGAAGAAAAGAGAAAUUAAAAUCUUGUUUGUUGUGGUAUCCUACGCGGUCUAAUUCAAUAAAUUAUACUACACACAUAAUUAUAUUAGGAAGAGUUUGACAAACUUUUUUGUACUUUAAAUUAAUUGAUGUCUACGUUCCUUAUAUACAUUACAAGCCACGCCAUACCAUGCCGUGAAAAGGGAUACUGAGGAUCAAGCCUAGAAGGUUUGAGUCGAUGCCACUUUUUUUAACACUCAUAUCUAGUGCUAUCCAAUCAUCAAUAUGUUCUUUCUUUCUAGGGUGCGAUCAUUUGCUUUGUUGAAUUAAAUAAUAUUUAGUAGUAUAAGCCAUGUCAUGUCAUGAGCCAAGGUUUUCAUUGUCACGUUUAGCAUGCCAGAGCUCAUUUCACUUAUUUUUACACCUCUAUUAAGUAUUAUCGUAUCAAUAUGUCCCCUAUUAUAAAUGAAUAGUUGGAUCUCAAAAUUGAAAUCCUAUGCUACUAUAGUACAUAAAGGUUAUAGAACCCUGCAUUUAAAAAUUUUAGUCAAUAGUCGGUUGACUCUAGGAGCUUGUUUGACGUAGAUUUUUUAGAAUAGUUUUUGCGAGGAGUAUUUUUUGGACAUUAUAUAAUUAAAAAGUGGGAAAAGCUAUAGAUUUACGUAUAAAAUUAUUUUAUUGGAAGAAUAUAUGAUUGAAAAUAAGUUUAGGGAAAAAAAAAAAGAGAUAAAAAAUCUAUGCCAAAUAUGGACAAAGUCCAUAGUUAUCUCACUUGCUCUUUCCUCUAUAAGAACUCAACCCUUAUCUUUCUCCAUAACAAGUAGAUUUUCCAUGAUAAUGGGGAACCACAAUUUGGUUCUACCAAUCUUAGCACUUUUCCACUUGGGGACAUUGCUUAUUUCUCUGGCAUGUCCUUACUGCCCAUACCCAAUUCCUCCCCCCCUUCCACUCAAAUUUCCACCAAAACACCCCCCAACUGUAAAGCCGCCAAAAACACCACACCAUCCCUCACCCAAACCUCCCGUCGUAAAACCACCAACACACGUGCCCAAACCUCCUAAUGUAAAGCCGCCGUCGAAACCUCCCGUAGUUAAGCCACCUUUCACUCCCAAACCUCCCUUUGUAAAGCCGCCACGGAAACCUCCAGUAGUUAAGCUACCUUUCACUCCCAAGCCUCCCAUUGUGCACCCACCAUACAAACCCACACCCACGCCUCCUCUAUUGCCACCACCAUCUGUGCCAAAACCACCCAUCAUCAAACCACCACUCCCACCAAUAGUCACGAAGCCUCCACCCGUCCCCGUAACACCACCGGCGCCACCAACUGAAACGCCGUGUCCUCCACCACCACUGUGUCCUCCGCCAUCACCUGCACAGCAAACUUGCCCCAUUGAAACCCUAAAACUGGGUGCAUGUUUGGACUUGUUAGGACGUCUUAUACACGUUGAAAUUGGCAGCAGUGCUAAGGACACUUGUUGUCCAGCACUAGACGGACUUAUCGACUUGGAUGCAGCAUUAUGCCUUUGCACCACAAUAAAGGCUAAGCUUCUGAAUAUUAACAUCCUUAUACCAAUUGCCCUUGAAGUCCUUGUUGACUGUGGCAAAACUCCACCCCCUGGUUUCCAGUGCCCUGCCUAAGGUACAUAAACAAAUUUUCUUCAAUUAAUCACUGCAUGUUUUUGAGACGGACAUAUGGACAAAAUUGAACAUUAGAAUAAGUAAAAUUUAACUUUUUUUCCUUAUUUAAUAUGGUAUAGUAUUAUACGCUUCACCCUAGGUUGCACAUACAUGGAAAUAACACUUGGAAACGGUAUUUCUAAAGAAGAAAAAUAGGUUACAAUAAUUUAUUUUCUUGUAAAAUAAAUAUUGAAUUAUAAUAUUUAGAAAACGCUCAUCACUUGUUUAAUUUUAUGCAGUGUAAAAUUCAAAGUCUGAAAUUAUAUAAAUUGUUUGAUGAAACUCGGAAUAUUAGCUUACUUCUUAGUUGAAGCCACAAAAAGUCCAAUAUUCUUAAUCAAGGUUUUCAAAUAUUAUCGUCAAAGUUUCUGAAAGUUUCACAAAUAUUUUCAAAUUCUGUUAAAUACUAAUAAAAUUUGGAAUGUUUCUGAAACGUUCUUGCAAAUUUUGCAAAUAGUGUUACAUAACAAAUUCAAAUAUGACGGCUGGAAUAAUGAAAUAACGGUCAAAAAAUCAAUUUUUUGGGAAAAAAAUCACUCCCAAAUAGGCUUUUAAUAGAACCAUUUUUAAGAUCCCCGAGCCCUCCUGAAUGUUCACACUUUAAAUAGAAACGAUUCUCAACAAACGUAAAAUCAAGUGGUUGAAUGAGAAGAAUUUUCAGCGUUUCUCAUCAAAUCUAUGAAUAGUUGUAUGUAUAUGUUACCAUCUACGAGUAUACGAACUCUUACAAGUAGACGUAUAGAAUCGAGACAAGCGUCGAUUAGAUCGUUAAAUGGCUCUUUUCUAGUCCUUUUCCUAAAAGAAACCUCCUUUUCUAAUUGGAUUUGUUCCAUCCAUUCUAUUGAUUGUAUAGUAUCCGAAUGCAAUUCUAACACAUCCUAAACGAACCACGUCUCGAAAAAAGUCAUGAAGCAAGAACACGAGGUUUUUACACAUUUUUCUUUGGUUAAAUCUGACUAAUUCAAAAUGAAGAAAAUGUCUAAAAGUGUGGGCAGAAAUUUUUGCAUAUGAACAAAAAGAGGAAAAAUGGGAUAGCCAUGACUUGACCACCUUAAUUAGGGGCGGCUUUUGUUUUCUUUUUGCCCGCAAAUCAGGGCAUCUUCUAUUCCCUGUCGGCCGGAGUGUCGUUUCUAUAUCACGUUUGAAAGUGAUACAU
rnacentral:lncRNA from 1 species